UGGGAGAGUGGGAGGUGUAAGGGAAACAACUUCGGUGAAUAAUAGGAACAACAAUAAACAGAUUCAAGAUUUUCAACUAAAAAAGACACAUUCACUGGGAAGUGGCCUAUGAUGAACUCACUUAAGCAAGACUUCAUUGAAGAGCUACGAUUCAACAUAAAGAAGGAAGUGGUAGAGCAUUUAUGGUCAUCAGAAUCAGUGGAAUAUCUCCCACGAGAAGUCUAUAAUGAACUAUCUGUUGAGAAAGGUCUGAUUAGUGCAAGUAGCUUUAAGCAAGAAAAAGAAGUGGAUAAAUUUCAAGGUAAUUCAACUAGGGUCAAGAGUACUAGUGAACAAAAUAAAACCAAUGGGAAAGAACAUGACGAUUAUGAUGAUGACAUCGAUGGAAUGAUUCAGGUUGUCUUCCAAAUAGCAAAUUCUGAUAAAUACUCAAAACCAACAAACUAUCUGUCUUUUCAAACAGAAAACCAAUUUCUUCUUUCUCCUGAAGAUUUGAAAACCUAUUCAGAUAACAGGUUCAGAGCACAUAAGAAAAAACAUUCCAAAGCAAAUAAAUUGAAAAAACACCAGACUUUGAAGGUUGAUAUUAAAAAAAACGUUUUAAAUGUAAUCUAUGUAAGAAAAAAUUUGCAAAGAAGUCAAACUUACAUGACCACCAGGUUAUUCAUACUGGUAUAAAACCAUUUGGUUGUCAAAUAUGUUUUAAGCAUUUCACCAGGGCAUCAAGCCUGAAGGCACACCAAGCAUUGCAUUUGGUUGAAAAACCAUAUAAAUGCAAAGUCUGCUUUGAAGAAUUUCCCGAGGCUUCAUAUUUGAAGACUCAUCAGGCUAUUCAUUUGGCAGAGAAGUCAUUCAAGUGUCAUCUAUGUUUGAAAUGCUUCCCAGAGGAUGAUUUGUUAAAGAAUCAUCUUAAUCAUCAUUCCAGUGUGGCGUACAAAUGUGAACUUUGUAAUAGAAAUUACAUUUACAAGUCCAGUCUGAGAGAUCAUCUUGAUGUCCAUGUCAAGGAUAAACAAAUAGCUUGCAAGUUUUGCCCCAAGAAGUUUGCCACUUUCAGAGUUUAUAAGAAACAUUUAGUUUCUCAUGUCGGUGAGAGGAAAUAUCCAUGUGAUGUGUGUGGCAAAAAAUUUAGAUCCAAUUCCAAAUUAAAGGCUCACCAGGAUGCUCGUCAUACUGAUAAAAAGAAAAGACAAAACUUCUUGAACCUUGAAAAAAAGCCAGUCGUUGACCAGGAGCACUUAACCCAAAGUUCUGUCUGAAAUUUCCAUAAUGGCAUCGAACAUUACUGCUAUUGGGUUGUCAUUUAUGUAAUGCAGAUUUCCUCUCCUGACCUGCAGUAAGUGCCAAAUUGUGACCACCUUGAACUGUGAAAAGACAACCACCCCAGCUAAUGGGACACUGAUGGCAGCCCCAUAUGCAACAUGUCAGAGCUUUUGAACUGAGUUAAUGGUCCUCUCUUUCAUUCACACCUCGGAACUCCACCAAGGCAACCCAACGUUUGUGUAUCUGAUUCACUAACAAACGUUUACACCCAGGUGCCAUGUUGAGCUGACAGGAAUCCUUGGAUGUCAAACUUUUGAAUAUGCUGAUACUGAUAAAACAGUGUGUGAUAUGACACUGAUGCCAAAGCAAAAUACAGGAUGAGAAAUAACUCCUGAUACUAGCAUCUUUGCUUGCUCAGAGCAAUGGCUUAGCAUGAACACAAGGUGAUUUUAGUUUGGGUCACAGUUUUGUCUUUGUUACUGGUGGUGCUGAUGAUUAGCCUUUAGUCGAUUAGUAUUUUAAAGUGUUUGUGAUAAAUAGCUAAGUUAAUAAAUAACUUUCUAGACAUUCUCAUUAAGCCAAAUAAAAUGAGUUGACUACAUGGUGGAUAAUUUGAUAAUUCAUUCCAAUGAAGUGUGGAAAAUGUCCAACAUGGCUAGAUUUUAAAAGUCCAAGAACUACUAAGAAUAGUUUGUAUUCUCUACUCAGAGUCUCCAGUGCAACUGUUGUUUUUAAGUCAAUUAACUUUUUCUGCUUUUUGUUGUUUUUGUUUUACUAAGGAUUCUCCUGAUGACUUUUAAACUUCUGAUAGCGUCUACUUCAGCUUAAAUUAGCAAAGACAGCUAGCCAUUUGCAAUAGCCUCUUAGAUUAUGACUAUUGAGCAAAAUAUUUUUUUUAGCUUAAAGGCUCAAAUGCCAGUUCCUCAAAUGAUAUUGUACAAAGAUUGCUUUUUAUUAUUAUUUAUAUUAAAUUAGCUGUUUAUCUCAGAAGUAAAUUAUUUGCUACAAAACCCAGCAAAAUGUUUAUAAUUAAAUUUCAUUUCUUUUUUAUGUCAGCUGAAUAGCAUUGUUGCUCGUGACUUACUGAACUUGAAUCGUUGUAUGGGUAAAAAUGAAUGCAUAUUUUGUUUUGUUUGUUUUACAGUUACAGAGUUAUUAUAGUAGUUUUUAUUGUUUAUGAAAUGUGACUGAAAUGGCAUUUAAAUUGUAUUCUUUCCAUGAUUAUAGAAAUAAAUACCUCUCCCCCAACAUGCAAUAUUUGUACCAUUCUUGCAUUAUAAAAUAGUGAUUACAAAUUCAUUGUAGGACCAUUACGAGUUAUAGAAAGUAAGAGUCUUGGUUUCUAGUUAUUUUUUAGAGUUGAAGUCUCCUUGCAUUUUACUAUUUCACAUGUUAAAAUUUAUUGAUGGAAGGGAAUACAGUAGCGUUUCUUUUUUUGCCAUCUUCUUAUAUAUCAGUAAAAUAACACAAUAAGAGUAUGCUUCUCUCUACAUGUAAUGAUUUUUUUUAAAAUCUCAGCAUUGUUGUGUAAUGGAGAAAGUACAGAUUACUUCUUGGGUUUAGUUCAAUGGUUUUGUGGCCAGAAUCAUUUUUUGUCCUUUUUUCUCUUCUUAACAAGAUGGAAUAUAAAAUUAUUUGUGAAUAUAGAAUUAUGAAAUUAUUUAUCAGUAAAAUGAAAUAUAGAAUUAUUUGUUAAUAUAGAAUUACGAAAUUAUUUAUCAGUAAGAUGAAAUGUGUAAUUAUUUAUCAAUAAGAUGAAAUGUAGAAUUAUCUUUAAUAAAAAGGAAUCUAAUAUAGAA
rnacentral:sRNA from 1 species